GCCGCGGGCUCUGCGCCCGCCCUCGGCGCGGACCCUGGGCCCCGACCCCGCGGUCGCCGGGGCUCCCCUUCCUCUGUCCCAGUGCGCCCAGCCCCGCGCUCCGCACCCGGGCACCCCCGCGGGGUUCUCCUGAGUUCCUGGAGCUCCCGGGGCUGGCGCUCACGCCGUGAGAGGGAAAAGAGAGGUUAAAACCAAGACAUGGACAAAGCCUCCGAAUGAAGGCAGCCCUUUAAAUGGAAUAAAUUUGGUUUCAUGGCACAUUAAUGGGGUGUCUUCUCUCCGAAGACACAGAGACAACUACAGUAGGUCUGGGGGCCGUCAGGGAUUGGAGGAACGAAGGUGCACUGCUCAGCAUUCUCCAAGAAGAUCAUUAAGGCAGACCCUACGUGUUAAAUUUCAAUCAGUUUCAUUGAGCAAAUAUGCUGUUAAAUAGAGACUGCUGUGUGCUGCGUCAGUGUGCCUUAUGGGCAAAUGUGAUGGUGACUAUAAAUGCAGACCAAGCAGUCCUUCCCACACUGUGUACACAAAGAAAGGAGCUCUGGAACUGGGAGCCAGGACAUCUGCAGGAGGAGAAUUCUGAAGUGAAAGGAGGCCUGGAUAUUGGUUGCAAGGCCUUGUCCCUGGAGCCUGGAUGCUCUCAUACCUUCUACAUCUGGGCCUCUGGGUCCAGGACAGUGCCAGGGAGAGUUCAUAGAAACAAAUGUGUUGAAGACCUUAGCGGUUGUCUGACUCUGAGACAGUUACCUGGCCACUCUUAAGUUUCCUCAUUUUUUUUUUAAUUUUACUUUAAGUUGCGGGAUACAUGUGCAGAACGUGCAGGUUUGUUACAUAGGUAUGCAUGUGCCAUGGUGGUUUGCUGCACCUGUCAACCUUUCAUCUAGGUUUUAAGCCCCUCAUGCAUUAGAUAUUUGUCCUAAUGCUCUCCUUCCCCUUGGCCCCCUGUCAGGUCCUGGUGUGUGUGUUGUCUGGCCCCCACCGUGUCCAUGUGUUCCUAUUGUUCAUCUCCCAUUUAUGAGUGAGAAUAUGUGGUGUUUGGCUUUCUCUUCCUGUGUUAGUUUGCUGAGGAUGAUGGUUUCCAGCUUCAUCCAUGUCCCUGCAGAGGACAUGAUCUCAUCCUUUUCAUGGCUGCAUAGUAUUCCGUGUUGUGUAUAUACCACAUUUUCUUUAUCCAGUCUUUCAUUGGUGGACAUUUGGGUUGGUUUCAUGUCUUUGCUAUUGUAAAUAGUGCUGCAAUAAACAUUAUGUGUGCAUGUGUCUUUAUAGUAAAAUGAUUUCUAUUCCUU
rnacentral:lncRNA from 1 species